UAUUUUGGAAUUGCUUAGAAAAGUGGAUCAAAUCAAAAAUUGCACUUCCUGAAUCUAUUUCGAGAGAUAUGGUAACCUUUGGAGUAUUAUUGAAAAACAAAACAAUGGAACUAUGUUGUAACAUAAUAUUUUGUUUGGCAAAAUUUUUUAUUCAUAAACAAAGAAUGCUGAAAUCAUCUCCAGUUUUUAAACUUUUUUUAUUUGAAUUCCAAUUAUAUUUGAAAUCUCUUAAAUGUAUUGGGUCAUUUGAAUUCCUGACUGAAUUUUUAAUGGAAUUGCCCAUCAAUCUAUGUCAAUCCUAACAUAUAAAUCCCCUUGUUGCUAUUUCAGUUAUUGUUUCAUUAUUAUUAUUAUUAUUAUUAUUAUUAUUAUUAUUAUUAUAUGUUUUUAUUUUUCUCCAUAGCAAUCCUUGUAUUUCCUUUGAAAUACAAAUACUGCUGUAUUUGUAUUUCUUGUUUGUAUUUACCUUGUUUAAAUAAAGUUUGAUUAAAAAAUAAUCGCUGCAAUACUGAGAUGUGCUAACUAACUAGCUUGUUGCAUUGUGCGCUGUAUGUAAGCUGGCGAACUAACCUCAGACUGUCAACGAAUAAUAAACAUGACAUCGCAUUUACAGAAAAAAAAAAAUGGUCCCAUUUCCAAAUAAGGUAUGAGACUGACAGUGGUCCGUCCCGCCCCUUCCUGUUUGCUCCAGCGAGGUUCUUCUCGUCAGAACCCCGAUCAGGAUCGGGCCCAUAUUUAUGACAUAAUCAGUGCUCACUCCAUCAGCUGCUUUCCAAUUGGAUGAAGCUACAUGUGAAAAAGGAAUCAAGCUGAGUUCCAGAACCAACCCAAGAAUAGGACCAAACCGAUCCACGACAAAGUCAGAACCUGGAUCCUGGUCCGAACAAAACCGAAAGAAGAUGUGUUCUGAUGAAAGACUGUGGUUUUUAUUAUACUAAGAAUCAUCUACAAUAUACAAACACAAUAUUUUGUACAAUCACUUUGUGCUUCUCCAGACGGAGCAAACCGUAAGACAACAAGUUCACAGAAUUAGUCAUAAAAAUAAGCUCAAACUCAACAACGGUAUAUUUAGCUCUAACUCUAUCAUUUACAGUUUCACCUCAAAAUAAAAUAACACAAUAUUAUCGUUUAUUCUCAUCGGGGGCAGAUGGGGGAGCUCUUACAGCUGGACAGGUUAUUGAUAUCAUGGUAAUUAUAUUUAACAAUAUCACACACACACACACCUGCUCAUGUGAAACACACUGCAAACAUGGCGGCUACAAGACAACACCUGCUAAGGGGGCGGAGCCUCCUCACGCUCCAAUGAAUGACUAAAAACAGCUUCAGAGUGACGCCAGCAUGAGGCUCGGCUGCAGGCUGAGAGGAACCGUCCAGACUGGACUGGACCCGACCGGAGCGGGAUGGACCACGAACUGGGAUGAACUGGCCUGAUUCAGCUGAAUUGGCCGGAACUGUUCUUUCCUGAGCUGAACAGUCUGGAACGAAAUGACCCACUCCAGGCAAAACUGCGGUGGACUGCCUCGGGUCUGGACUGACUUUUAUAACUCUUCACAUGACGAGUCUGGAUGCUGGAGGUCAGAAGGAGUCUAAUCAGUGCUGGGUUGAAUGUUCGGCAGGUGACCAUACUUGUCAAGUUUAGAAUUUGAGAAUAUGGGAAAUGUCGUCGUCUGGUGCUAUUGUCAGAGGUCAGAGCGGGGGUGGGGGCAUAAUACGGGAAAAGGGGGUAAGAAAUGCUAGCCAAAAACAGGAGACUUGAGAGGUAUGCAGGUGACUCAUAUUGACCUGUAGUUGACCUCUCGGUGUUUCACCUACUUCGCUGUUUUACUGAGCAGAGUGGAGCUCAUUGGGCCAAUCAGGUGUUAGAAGGUUUCCUGCUGUCAGCCUCAUCAUGGCUUUAACUGCAGCUGGAAGUUCUGGUUGCAUUGGGGCUCAGGAUGUUCAGGCGGUUCAGUAGAAACACUAAACUCUUGGAGGUGCGGACACAGAAAGGACAGCAGCCACUAAGUGCUACUCAUCCGUACAGUCUGUAGGU